UACGAAGGGGGGCUAGCGUUGCUCGGAAUCACUGGGCGUAAAGCGCACGUAGGCGGCUUCUUAAGUCAGGGGGUGAAAUCCUGGAGCUCAACUCCCAGAACUGCCUUUGAUACUGAGGAGCUUGAGUCCGGGGAGAGGUGAGUGGAACUGCGAGUGUAGAGGUGAAAUUCGUAGAUAUUCGCAAGAACACCAGUGGCGAAGGCGGCUCACUGGCCCGGUACUGACGCUGAGGUGCGAAAGCGUGGGGAGCAAACAGG
rnacentral:rRNA from 1 species